CAGUCGCCACGGGAAUACGGAGGGGGCUAGCGUUGUUCGGAAUUACUGGGCGUAAAGCGUACGUAGGCGGCUUUGUAAGUUAGAGGUGAAAGCCUGGUGCUCAACACCAGAACUGCCUUUAAGACUGCAUCGCUUGAACGUCGGAGAGGUGAGUGGAAUUCCGAGUGUAGAGGUGAAAUUCGUAGAUAUUCGGAAGAACACCAGUGGCGAAGGCGGCUCACUGGACGACUGUUGACGCUGAGGUACGAAAGCGUGGGGAGCAAACAGGAUUAGAUACCCCAGUAGUCCCUGUCUCUUAUAC
rnacentral:rRNA from 1 species